AGUGAACGCUGGCGGUAGGCCUAACACAUGCAAGUCGAACGGCAGCACAGUAAGAGCUUGCUCUUACGGGUGGCGAGUGGCGGACGGGUGAGGAAUACAUCGGAAUCUACUUUUUCGUGGGGGAUAACGUAGGGAAACUUACGCUAAUACCGCAUACGACCUACGGUUGAAAGCAGGGGAUCUUCGGACCUUGCGCGAUUGAAUGAGCCGAUGUCGGAUUAGCUAGUUGGCGGGGUAAAGGCCCACCAAGGCGACGAUCCGUAGCUGGUCUGAGAGGAUGAUCAGCCACACUGGAACUGAGCCACGGUCCAGACUACUACGGGAGGCAGCAGUGGGGAAUAUUGGACAAUGGGCGCAAGCCUGAUCCAGCCAUACCGCGUGGGUGAAGAAGGCCUUCGGGUUGUAAAGCCCUUUUGUUGGGAAAGAAAAGCAGCAGGUUAAUACCCCGCUGUUCUGACGGUACCCAAAGAAUAAGCACCGGCUAACUUCGUG
rnacentral:rRNA from 1 species